rnacentral:misc_RNA from 1 species
GAUGAAGAACGCAGCGAAAUGCGAUAAGUAAUGUGAAUUGCAGAAUUCAGUGAAUCAUCGAAUCUUUGAACGCACAUUGCGCCCCUUGGUAUUCCGAGGGGCAUGCCUGUUCGAGCGUCAUUAUAACCCCUCAAGCUCAGCUCGGUGUUGGGGCCUGCUGCACUGGCAGCCCUUAAAAUCAGUGGCGGCGCCAUCUGGCUCUAAGCGUAGUAAUUCUUCUCGCUAUGGAGUCCUGGUGGAUGCUUGCCAUCAACCCCCAAUUUUUCUAUGGUUGACCUCGGAUCAGGUAGGGAUACCCGCUGAACUUAAGCAUAUCAAUAAGCGGAGGA